GGCCAGAGAGCAGCGAGCAAGGGGCUAAGGGGAGGGGGGCCCAGUGCCAGCCAUUUAAGAAUGUCCCUGUGCCAGCGAGGGGUGCCAGAGUCCCAGUCGAGUUAGUUGAAAAGCAGUGACAUCCCCCUCAGUCCCCCAGUUGGGCCGGCCCCCAUCUCGGGCCACAAGGAGCACACCUGGACCAGACACAGGAGAGGAAAGGGCACUGUCUGGCAGGAGUCGCCCCUAUCACUCCGAUGUUGGAGGAGCAAAAACCCUGGAGAGGGGCCUCCUGAGGACCUGAGGAGGACAGGCAAGAGGGGCCCUGGAAAUGCCACUGUGAGUGCUUCCCACCUGCGCUCCUCCACACCCACCCUGAUGGCGCCCCCUGUGGUAACCCCAGGCCCACGGGAUGCUCUCCCCAUCCCAACCCUCAGAAUGAACAAGAAACCAGGCCUCAGAGGGGGAAGAGGUGACGAAAGGCCCCUACUUGUUGAUGGGGUGCAGGCAAUUUGGGGCUGUUCGGUCUGGGUUGUAGGUGACAACUAGUGAGACCAACAGAGGCAAAAACAACCAGGGGCCCAAUAUCCGCUCCACCCCAUGGUCCGUACAAACUAGGAGUGCGAAGCCUGCAUGCUGCAGAGGGGUCAGAGGACUUGGGGGGUGUGGAGAACGAUGCCCGUCUUCCCAGAAAGGCACCAACAGGGUCGGGCUCUGGAAACAGGUAGACGUCAGGGAGAGAGCCUGGUGAUGACAGAACCAGCACACGAGGCUAUGACAGGGCCCAUAAGGUCAGGCAUGUGCCCUGGUGACCAUUGCAAAACCAUAGCGAUUCUUUCUACUGUCCAUCUUGUUCUUCCCACGCUUGCUAGUUCUCAGGACCCUGCGCGUGGAGCAGGCCAGGUGAUAUACCAGCUCUGUAAGACAGGUAGACAAACGGAGGCCCAGGGAGGCGAAGGAACUAACUCAGAACGGCACGGACAGCCUGCUGCAGAGGGGGCUUCUGGCACUAGAUCUUCUAAGAAUGGAAAAAGCGGAGAAAGCCUUGGAGACUCCCCAGAGCUUCCCGACAGAAGACAGAGGUUCCCCCAGGCUCGGCGACAUUUCCUGGAGACAGUGGGGAGCAGGGAGGAGAAACGGGCUCACCCUCUGGGAGCAACCCCCAGCCUGCCCACAGCCGGCACCAGGUAAGGUGCUGAGGUCGCCUCUUCAGUGGCUUCCUUGGACAGAAAGGGAAACAGAACCGCAGGGAGGGAGACGCACCUGUGACAAGUGACUGCGCCAGUAGGUGGUGGAACCUGAGUUCCCCCAGUGGUCCCUGUCUCCUGACAAGGGACUCAGAGUGAGAGGGAGCCUCUCGUGGGGUAAGUGAAAUAGGAGGGCUACCAACCUCCUUCUCAGUGAGGUCUCAUUUGAAGGAGACCAGGGGUCAAGGCCAGUGCGGUCUGCCUGCCAGGCAGGUACACAAGACUCAAGGGAAGGGUUCCAGGGACUAGAGAGCCAGGUCCUUCCUGCCCAGUUGCACCGCCACCUCCUCCAGGAAGCCCUGCCUGCUCCGCCCAGGGGUGGGAACCUCUCUGUCCUCUAAGCCCUUGGUAGGCCUCUCUUGGGCUCUCUGGUGCCACCCGGUCUGCCCCCGUUUGCCUUGCUGGGGGCAUCGUCCUUCCAUUUCAGGCUGAAUACACUCCUCCAGGGCAAGGGCCCCAUCGGGUUUAGUCCUGUCUCCCCUUCAGCGUGUAGAAGACAAACUCAGUUUGCCAAACGGACAGGUGCAACCGUUAGAUCCCAAACUCAAAGGACUGGAAACCGGUCAGGGGAGAAGAUGCUGAGCAUAGAGGUUAAAAAUGAGGGCCGGGGCCAGCUGUUCUGAGUGAGGAGUCCCAGCUCCCUGCCCUCCGCAAGUUCCCUUCCCACGCAGCCAUGGGGAUGCACGGAGAUUCACACAAUUAAAUCCCUCAAUAAAUGACUGUUCCUAGCACAGCCAGCACUGGAAUGAUCUUCCUAGAUACAAAGGAACGGAACUAGGCAGCCUGUAGCCAGAGAGGAAAUGGAGGCAAGCCUCUUCCCUGGUCAGAGGCUGUGCCUCAAGCCCUGUCCCUGCGUCAGAGUGACUCCACAGGAGCGUGGGACUGCUCCAUCUACUUCCUGCUUCCACACCCAGGAGAGCUGCUACUCUGGCAGCAGUGUUCUAAGUCCAGAGGGACGGGGGCCGUGCUGGAAAUAGCC